rnacentral:rRNA from 4 species
UGACCUCGGAUCAGGUAGGGUUACCCGCUGAACUUAAGCAUAUCAAUAAGCGGAGGAAAAGAAACCAACCGGGAUUGCCUCAGUAACGGCGAGUGAAGCGGCAAGAGCUCAAAUUUGAAAUCUGGCCCCCUCGGGGUCCGAGUUGUAAUUUGGAGAGGAUGCUUCGGGCGUGGCCCCCAUCUAAGUGCCCUGGAACGGGCCGUCAUAGAGGGUGAGAAUCCCGUCUGGGAUGGGUGGUCCCGCCCGUGUGAAGCUCCUUCGACGAGUCGAGUUGUUUGGGAAUGCAGCUCUAAGCGGGUGGUAAAUUUCAUCUAAAGCUAAAUAUUGGCCGGAGACCGAUAGCGCACAAGUAGAGUGAUCGAAAGAUGAAAAGCACUUUGAAAAGAGAGUUAAACAGCACGUGAAAUUGUUGAAAGGGAAGCGUUGGCCACCAGACUCGCCCGGGGGGGCUCAGCCGGCACUCGUGCCGGUGCACUCCCUCCCGGGCGGGCCAGCGUCGGUUUGGGCGGUCGGUCAAAGGCCCCGGGAAUGUAACACCCUCCGGGGUGCCUUAUAGCCCGGGGUGCCAUGCGACCUGCCCGGACCGAGGAACGCGCUCCGGCUCGGACGCUGGCGUAAUGGUGGUCAACGGCC